rnacentral:lncRNA from 1 species
UUUGUAGCAACCCACUUAGAACAUUCCCAGCUUCUGAUAAUGUAUAUAUUGGUAUUGUCAAUGGAAAUGCUAGUGGUACGAACGAAAAUGAUGGAAUCACAAAUGGAGAAACAAAUACAAACGGAAUAGGGAAUAGAAAAAAAAGAAACUACCACAACAUGAACCGUUUUAUUAGUACAACAACUUAUACAAUAGACAGCAGAAUGGAUGAUGACACAACUGUAAAGCGCAUAAAUGAAAGUAGUGAUGAUAAUAAAUGUGUGCCUAAAAAAGUGCUAACUAACUUAUAUGAUACGGCAAGAUAUAACAAAAACUGCAACGACAGUAGUUCCAACAAUGACUGUUUCAACAAUGACUGUUCCAACAAUAGUAGUAAAGAAAUAAAAAAAAAUACUACUACACAAUUUGUAACAAAUUGUAACAAUUAUAAUAAUAAUAAUACCAUACUUGAUUCACCAACUGAUAAUAAAAGAGGUUUAACUGUUUUGGAUAUACAUAAAAAAGAGUUGGACUUAAUGAAGUUAAAAAAUAAAGUGACAAGCAACAACAUAAACGGGAUAACAGAAGAUUGUAUAGAUUAUAAAAAUAAUAAUACAAUAAACACUAAUCAUAAUAAUAAUCACAUUUUAAAAGAUCAGUACUGUUAUAGUAACAAAGAAUGCAAAGACAACGUUAACAAAAUACAAGAAGAACAACAACAACUAUAUAUUAAUGGAUUUGGAUUAAAAAAUAACAUUGAAAACGGUAAUAAAAAUAGCGACUUAUUAAAAGAAAAAAAAAAAAUUAAAGAAUUAAAAAAAAAUACCGAAUUAAAUCAAAUAUUUAAAAAAUUAAAUGUUGAAGAAAAGGAACUGAUCUUAUCUGUCCUUGCAAAUAUAAAAAAUGAGAAUAAUGAUAAAAUACAUUUAGAUCAUCAAGUUACUACAGGGUUAACUCAAAAUUUGAACUAUAGUAGUAACGGUUACAACAAUAGCCAAGAUAUGUAUGAUGAUUACUCAAAUCACGUAAAAAUAGAGAGUAACAAAGGUAUUGAAAGGGGUAGUGACAAAGGUAGUGACAAAGCUAGUGACAAAGGUAGUGACAAAGGUAAUGACAAAGGUAAUGACAAAGGCAAUGACAAAGGUAAUGACAAAGGUAGUGACAAAGGUAAUGACAAAGGUAAUGACAAAGGUAGUGACAAAGGUAGUAACAAAGGUAGUAACAAAGCUAGUGACAAAGCUAGUGACAAAGCUAGUGACA